rnacentral:lncRNA from 1 species
ACGAACCCACCCAAAGGGUUCCUGAAUAGGCAGUCUUAAUAGAAGGUCCAGAGGUCCUGCGUGAAGUCCUCCCUGUACAUGAGUUUCUCUUCUCUCUUCCUGUCUGUGAAGGUCCCACAGCUGUGAUGAGAGGCAUGCUGGGAAGAUCUCACUUCCCUCCUUCUGAGCAUCAGAGGAUCUUUCUCCCGGGACCUAGAUAGAAGACUUAAAUGAUAUUGACGUUAAUCUUUGCAUGAUUAAAAGGAAUUAAAUUAAAAUGAAUAAUUCAUGGAUAAA